rnacentral:rRNA from 1 species
ACCGCGGUUAUACAAAUAAUACAAGUAAAAUUUAUUAGUAAUAGUUAAUUUGUUUUAAUAAAAUUUAAUUUAAAUUUUUUAAGUGAAAUUUUAAAUUUAAUUAAUUUUAUACUUAUUUUAAAUGAAGCUAGAAAUUUUUAAUUAUAAACUAGGAUUAGAUACCCUAUUAUUUAAAGAGUAAUUGUUAAUACUUGAGUAGUAAUAGUUAUGAUCUUCAAACUUAAAGAAUUUGGCGGUGUUUUAGUCUAUUUAGAGGAAUCUGUUCUGUAAUCGAUAAUCCACGUUGGACCUUACUAAAAUUUGUAUUUAAUUUGUAUAUCGCCGUUAUCAGAAUAUCUUAAAAGAGAAAUAAUUUUCUUAAUUUAUAAAUAUAAUUGAUGUCAGGUCAAGGUGCAGUUUAUGUUUUAGUAGAAAUGGAUUACAAUAAAUUUAUUUAUACAGUAAAUUAUUUGAAAUAAUAAUUUUAAGGUGGAUUUAAAAGUAAAAUAAUAGAUAUUAUUUAUUUGAUUAUAGCUCUAAAACAUGCACAC